GCUCUCAUGGUAACCAUUCAUAACUGGAACCUGAGAGGAGGGAAAUCCCCCAGGGCUGUCCAGAAUGACACUCUCCAACCGAAAGACAAAGCUGCUCACUGACUCUCACCAUGAGAUCCUUCAGAUAAAAGAGGGCCAUUCAGCUUUUCUGAGUCACUUCUCAUGUGAGCCUCUGGAACAGAAAGAAUGACUCAAAAAGAGUAUGACCUAUCCUGGAAGUUGGGUCAGCCCAGGAAAGGUGGGGGAAGGGCCACGGGUGAUGCUGAAGUUGGGAGGAAGAAAGAGAGGAGAAAUGCAUUUCCUCAAAUGAAUGCUCCCUCUUCUUUCAUGACAACAUAAGGAUUCUGAGAAGGCUAGACACUCCCAAGUGGCAGGGUUUCAUCUACCUCACAAUUCCAAGAGACUGAGCCCAGCAAUAAAAUAACUUGCCCUCACAUUCCAGGGUGCACAACAGCUGUGUUUGAAAUCAGGGAAGAGAGAGAACUGGGCCCCUUCCCCUUUUUCCCUGCUUCCUGGACACCAUAAGUGGAGCACCUCUCCAUCAGCACACCCUUCCACCAUGAUGUGCUGCCUCACCUUGGACCCAGAGCAAUGGACUCGGCUGACCAUGGACUGAAUCUCUCAGACUAUGAGUGAAAAUAAACUUCUUCCUCUAAA